rnacentral:misc_RNA from 1 species
GAUGAAGAACGCAGCGAAAUGCGAUAAGUAGUGUGAAUUGCAGAAUUCCGUGAAUCAUCGAAUCUUUGAACGCACAUUGCGCCUUCUGGUAUUCCGGAAGGCAUGCCUGUUCGAGAGUCAUUAACAACCGUUUCGAUCCCUUUCUUUCAGAAAUUACAAAGAGGAAAAGGGUUUGGUUAUGGUGGAGGAGGGAAAGGGAGCGUUUAGCCUAUAAAAAAAGAGGCUGUGUUCCGCCUCCCCCCCAAAAUUGUACAGGCGGUCGUGUGCGCCCACGCAUCGAGGUGUUGUAAAAGCUGCCACGGCACUUUUCACCUGUGCAGUGCGAGAUUGGCCAGCCGGUUUAAAAACCCCUCCAAACAAUCAAAGGUUGACCUCGGAUCAGGUAGGGAUACCCGCUGAACUUAAGCAUAUCAAUAAGCGGAGGA